UUGACCUCAAAUCAGGUAGACGUUUAGGUU
rnacentral:rRNA from 1 species